rnacentral:rRNA from 1 species
UACGUAGGGUGCAAGCGUUGUCCGGAAUUAUUGGGCGUAAAGAGCUCGUAGGCGGUCUGUCGCGUCGGCUGUGAAAACUCGGGGCUCAACUCCGAGCUUGCAGUCGAUACGGGCAGGCUAGAGUUCGGCAGGGGAGACUGGAAUCCUGGUGUAGCGGUGAAAUGCGCAGAGUAUCAGGAGGAACACCGGUGGCGAAGGCGGGAUCUCUGGGCCGAUACUGACGCUGGAGGAGCGAAAGCGUGGGGAGCGAACAGG